AGCGAACGCUGGCGGCAGGCCUAACACAUGCAAGUCGAACGAAGUCUUCGGACUUAGUGGCGGACGGGUGAGUAACACGUGGGAACGUGCCCUUUGGUACGGAAUAACUCAGGGAAACUUGAGCUAAUACCGUAUGUGCCCUUCGGGGGAAAGAUUUAUCGCCAUUGGAGCGGCCCGCGUCUGAUUAGCUAGUUGGUGAGGUAAAGGCUCACCAAGGCGACGAUCAGUAGCUGGUCUGAGAGGAUGAUCAGCCACAUUGGGACUGAGACACGGCCCAAACUCCUACGGGAGGCAGCAGUGGGGAAUCUUGCGCAAUGGGCGAAAGCCUGACGCAGCCAUGCCGCGUGAAUGAUGAAGGUCUUAGGAUUGCAAAAUUCUUUCACCGGGGACGAUAAUGACGGUACCCGGAGAAGAAGCCCCGGCUAACUUCGUGCCAGCCGCCGCAGUAAGAC
rnacentral:rRNA from 1 species